rnacentral:tRNA from 2 species
GGGGGUAUAGCUCAGCUGGUAGAGCACCGUCCCUUUAAGUCGGUGGUCCAGGGUUCAAACCCCUGUGCCCUCACCA